rfam:Otolemur garnettii contig096902, whole genome shotgun sequence.
GCCGGGCGCGGUGGCGUGGGCCUGUAGUCCCAGCUACUCCGGAGGCUGAGACAGGAAGAUCGCUUGAGUCCAGGAGUUCUGAGCUGUAGUGCGCUAUGCCGAUCGGGUGUCCGCACUAAGUUCAGCAUCAGUAUGGUGACCUCCCGGGAGCGGAGGGUCACCACGUUGCCUAAGGAGGGGUGAACCGGCCCAGGUCGGAAACAGAGCAGGUCAAAGAAAAUGUGCAUUCUAUUUGUUCAUGCAUCGGUGUGUACAUGUUUAAUAUCACAAACCUGAGCAAAUUACGUGACAAAU